GGGCGUAAAGACGCAUGCAGGCGGCGUUGUUAAGUCAGAUGUGAAAGCCCGGGGCUUAACCUCGGAAUUGCAUUUGUAAACUAGGCAGGACUAGAGUCUUGUAGAGGGGGGUAGGAAUUUCAGGUGUAGCGGUGAAAUGCGUAGAGAUCUGAAGGAAUACCAGUGGCGAAGGCGGCCCCCUGGACAAAGACUGACGCUCAGAUGCGAAAGCGUGGGGAGCAAACAGGAUUAGAUACCCUGGUAG
rnacentral:rRNA from 1 species